AUGGCUCAGAAUCAACGCUGGCGGCGUGCCUAACACAUGCAAGUCGAACGCGAAAGCCCGCAAGGGUAAGUAGAGUGGCGCACGGGUGAGUAACACGUGGACAACCUGCCUUCGAGUGGGGAAUAACCUUCCGAAAGGAGGGCUAAUACCGCAUAACACCUCGGGACACAAGUUCUGGGGUUGAAAAGAGCAAUUUGCUCGAAGAGGGGUCCGCGCCUGAUUAGCUAGUUGGUGAGGUAACGGCUCACCAAGGCUUCGAUCAGUAGCCGUCCUGAGAGGGAGCACGGCCACACUGGAACUGAGACACGGUCCAGACUCCUACGGGAGGCAGCAGUGGGGAAUUUUUGGCAAUGGGCGAAAGCCUGACCAAGCAACGCCGCGUGGGUGAUGAAGUAUCUAGGUACGUAAAACCCUUUCGGCAGGGACGAACCUAAUGACGGUACCUGCGGAAGAAGCCCCGGCUAACUCCGUGCCAGCAGCCGCGGUAAUACGGGGGGGGCAAGCGUUGUUCGGAAUUACUGGGCGUAAAGGGCGCGUAGGCGGUUGGAUAAGUCAGCUGUGAAAACCACGAGCUUAACUCGUGGCCUGCAGUUGAGACUGUCUGGCUUGAGUGUGGAGAGGAGAGUGGAAUUCCUGGUGUAGCGGUGAAAUGCGUAGAUAUCAGGAGGAACACCGGUGGCGAAAGCGGCUCACUGGGCCGACACUGACGCUCAUGCACGAAAGCGUGGGGAGCAAACAGGAUUAGAUACCCUGGUAGUCCACGCCGUAAACGAUGGAUGCUAGCUGCUGGGAAGCCUUAUCUUUUCUCGGUGGCGUAGCCAACGCGUUAAGCAUCCCGCCUGGGAAGUACGGUCGCAAGACUAAAACUCAAAGGAAUUGACGG
rnacentral:rRNA from 1 species